AUUGAACGCUGGCGGCAGGCUUAACACAUGCAAGUCGAACGAGUGGCGGACGGGUGAGUAAUGUAUGGGGAUCUGCCUGAGGGCGGGGGAUAACUAAUGGAAACGGUAGCUAAUACAGCAUACCAUCAGAUGAACCCAUAUGGGAUUAGCUUGUAGGUGAGUUAACGGCUCACCUAGGCGACGCUCCCUAGCUGGUCGGAGAGGAUGAUCAGCCACACUGGGCCUGAGACACGGCCCAGACUCCUACGCGAGGCAGCAGUGGGGUAUAUUGCACAAUGGGCGCAAGCCUGAUGCAGCCAUGCCGCGUGUAUGAAGAAGGCCUUCGGGUUGUAAAGUACUUUCAGUCGGGAGGCGUUCCCUACAGAAGAAGCCCCGGCUAACUCCGUGCCAGCAGCCGCGGUAAUAC
rnacentral:rRNA from 1 species